CCACCCUGCCCGCCAUCCUGUGCUAUAAAGACCACAGACUCAGCCAGCAGAGAGGAGAAGCAACUGGACGUGAGGGACUACGGCUGGAUGUCAGAGAGAAGUGGCUUGAUUUCAGAGGGACAUUUUGAUGGUGUAACUUUGGAGAAAAAUCCAGCCAGAGAUGGCAGGACUUCAGGGGAAGGUUACCUACCCAGCCCAUCCCCUUUUCUGCUCUCCUUCCUGCUGAGAGCCACUUUCACUGGGAAUAAAAUACCCCGCAUUUACCAUCUGUGAAUUCUUUUGUGUAACCUCAUUUUCCCUGAAUGCAGGACAAGAGCUCAGGAGUCAUGAGUGCAGAUACAGAAGGCUGUGACACUGGCCCUUUACUCUUGC
rnacentral:lncRNA from 1 species